CAUCCAAUAUGUCCCGAACUGCUCUAGCCAGCAAAGCAAAUAUGUCCGGCAAACCUCCUGGAGGAAAUUCCAUGAUGUUGGUAGGGUCUGUAGGAGUGAGCCCUGGUCUAUAAUCAUACGUUUCCUGCCACAACCGAGGAUUAGCAUAAUAGCCCGAGGUCCUGCACCACUCGCAAUCGUCGCCUUGAAUCUCCUCUCCACUGGGGAAUGGUCUUUGGUGAAAGUAAAGACGAGCAGAAUCUAACCCAGACCUCAGGAGAGCACCAUCAGUGGCUGAAAACUGAAUGAUUGCAGCGGAAUACU
rnacentral:lncRNA from 1 species